rnacentral:misc_RNA from 1 species
AAGUCGUAACAAGGUCUCCGUUGGUGAACCAGCGGAGGGAUCAUUACAGAGUUGCAAAACUCCCUAAACCAUUGUGAACUUACCCCUAAACAGUUGCUUCGGCGGCGCCCGGACAGGCCCGCCGGAGACCACCAAACUCUUGUUUUUUUAACACUGGCCUCUCUGAGUUUACUGUACUGUAAUAAGUCAAAACUUUCAACAACGGAUCUCUUGGUUCUG